GCCAACUUAGCAGAAAUUAAUGUUUGCGACUUAGGAUCGCAGGGUGUAGGUAACUACAGUUGGUA
rnacentral:tRNA from 3 species